rnacentral:rRNA from 1 species
GUAAGUAAUAAAUAUGAAAACAAAAAAUUAUGGCGGUACUUUAAGCUUUUCAGAGGAAUUUGCUCUUUAAUGGAUAAAACACCUAAAUCUUACUAAAAUUAGUUUAAACCAGUUUGUAUACCACUAUAAAAGUAAUAAUUUAUAAUUAUUACUUUAAUUUUAAAAAAUUAAAAUUAACUUAAGUCAUGGUGCAGCAAAAAUUUUAGGCUGAAGUGAUUACAUUUCUUUUUAGUUAAUAGAAAUUAAAAUCAAUUAGGAUUUGAAAGUAAAAAUAUAAUAGAAUGAUAUUUUGAAUUAAGUUCUGAAGUAUGUAC